CACCGUCCAAACAACAUUUCUUUGUGGUUUCCGGAUAUCGAAUUAGCACCGGCCACACAGAAAACGCCCAACUCCGAGGACCGGGACAUGGCGCCCCGAACCCUCCUCCUGCUGCUGUCGGGGGCGCUGGUCCUGCCCGAGACCUGGGCGGGCUCCCACUCCCUGCGCUACUUCGACAUCGCGGUGUCCCGGCCCGGCCGCGGGGAGCCCCGCUUCAUGUCCGUGGGCUACGUGGACGACACGCAGUUCGUGCGCUUCGACAGCGACGCCCUGGAUCCGAGGGUGGAGCCGCGGGCGGCGUGGAUGGAGAAGGUGGAUCAGGCGUAUUGGGAUCGGGAGACAAAGAGAGCCGAGGACACGGCUGAGGCUUUCCGAGUGAACCUGCGGACACUGCGCGGCUACUACAACCAGAGCGAGGACGGCUCUCACACGCUCCAAUGGACUUCCGGCUGCGAAAUGGGGUCGAACGGCCACCUCCUCCGCGGGUAUGCUCAGUUCGCCUACGACGGUGAGGAUUACUUGUACCUGAACGAGGACCUGAACUCCUGGACCGCAAUGGACACGGCUGCUCAGAUCUCCAGGACCAAAUCCGAGGCAGCAGGAGAGACGGAGGAGCAGAGGGCCUACGUGGAGGGGGAGUGCAUGGAGUGGCUCGGCAGAUACCUGGAGGCGGGGAAGGAGACGCUGCAGCGCUCAGAGCCCCCAGAGACUCACGUGACCCGCCACCCCGUCUCCAAGGAAGAGGUCACCCUGAGGUGCUGGGCCCUGGGCUUCUACCCGGCCGAGAUCUCCCUGACCUGGCAGCGGGGUGGGCAGGACCUGACCCAGGACACAGAGCUGGUGGAGACCAGGCCUGCAGGGGAUGGAACCUUCCAGAAGUGGGCGGCUGUGGCGGUGCCUUCGGGAGAGGAGCAGCAUUACAUGUGCCGUGUGCAGCAUGAGGGGCUGCCCGAGCCCCGCACCCUGAUGUGGGAGCGGCCUCUUCCUCCCACCAUCUCCAGAGGAGUUGAAGUCGUCGUGGUCAUUGCCGCCCUCCUCGGCGUCCUGGUCAUUGUAGCUGCGGUGGCUGUUGUGAUGUGGAGGAGAAAGAGGGCCGGUAUAAAGAAAGGGAGCUACACUCAGGCUAUCUACAGUGACAGUAGCUGCAGCUCUGACUCAUCUCACAUAUCUUAAAGGUGGGGAGAGAGACGGACCAGGGGAAGCUGAGGUGGGGCUGAGCACCCCGCACCGCCCUGCCCCUCCUCCUUUCACAUGGAGGCUUCCGAUACAGACGCCUCCCACGCGGCUUUGAAUCUUCAGACACCCUUCAGUCAGCAGCCCUAGAAGCAAACCUCACAGUGUCUCCACAUACGUGAGUCACAGGGUGACAUCAGACACCCUGGAAAUACAGCACCGGAAAUGGGAGGCCCUAGGCCUCCGGUAAAGAAGCUGAAAUGCAAAGCAGGAAGUGCGUCACCGGAAAUGUGUUAGCAAGCAAGCAAACUGUGACGGGUGGAGAAGCUGCAGCACCAGGCAAGUUCCGCUUUCGGGACCCUCGCCCUGGUUCAUGCCCUGAGAAUAUUUCAAAAUCUCUAUUGCUCCAGAGCCCUCUGACUCUCAAGCCUUGCUCAAGAACUGUUUAGAAACCUCACACUGAGGCCUGGCGCGAACUCUUCCUCUGUGAUCCUCUGAUUUCUCUCCUGGCGUACCGUGCGGAAUUUGGACUCACAUGUGCAAGUGGCUUGCUCUGACCGGUCAUUCGGUGUGCCCUGUCUUCUGUGACACACACACACUCACACUCAUUCCUCACACGCUGGGAGACGGGUCCUCCUCAGCAAACAUGCAGCUCGCUGUGAAUCCCUGACUCUCCCCAGGAUCCCGCCCUCUCCAGUAUUUCUACUGGACUGUCUCUGAGCCAGGACACACAGUGCCCAGAUUUACCGCCUCUGGCUUCGUGGACAACCAGCCCUUCAUCCGCUAUGACAGUGAGGUCGUGGAGGCAAAGCCUUUGGUGCCCUGGCUGAAGGAAGACAAGAGCUACUUUGAUAAUGAGACCAAGAUCUUCGCGAGCCGCAUGAAGGUUUUCCAGUGAAGUCUGAGAAACGUGCAGAAUCACUACGAUGGCACCACGAGCACGGAGGGCCCACGGCAGCCAGCAG